AUAUCUCUCUGUACGGGAAGGAUGAGAAGCUUCGACUAAGGUUCGAUUCGAGCGUCAGCGAGAAAGCGUUGCCGC
rnacentral:sRNA from 7 species